CGGGGGGAGCAAGCGUUGUUCGGAUUUACUGGGCGUAAAGGGCGCGUAGGCGGUCAGCACAAGUCAGUUGUGAAAUCUCCGGGCUUAACUCGGCAAGGUCAACUGAUACUGUGCGACUAGAGUGCAGAAGGGGCAACUGGAAUUCUCGGUGUAGCGGUGAAAUGCGUAGAUAUCGAGAGGAACACCUGCGGCGAAGGCGGGUUGCUGGGCUGACACUGACGCUGAGGCGCGAAAGCCAGGGGAGCGAACGGGAUUAGAUACCCCGGUAGUCCUGGCCUUAAACGAUGGAUGCUUGGUGUCUGGAGUUAUAUAGUCUCCGGGUGCCGCAGCUAACGCGUUAAGCAUCCCGCCUGGGGAGUACGGUCGCAAGACUG
rnacentral:rRNA from 1 species